rnacentral:rRNA from 1 species
GACGAACGCUGGCGGCGUGCCUAAUACAUGCAAGUAGAACGCACAGUUUAUACCGUAGCUUGCUACACCAUAGACUGUGAGUUGCGAACGGGUGAGUAACGCGUAGGUAACCUGCCUGGUAGCGGGGGAUAACUAUUGGAAACGAUAGCUAAUACCGCAUAAUAUUAAUUAUUGCAUGAUAAUUAAUUGAAAGGUGCAAUUGCACCACUACCAGAUGGCCCUGCGUUGUAUUAGCUAGUAGGUGAGGUAACGGCGCACCUAGGCGACGAUACAUAGCCGGCCUGAGAGGGUGAUCGGCCACGCUGGGACGGGGACACGGCCCAGACUCCUGCGGGAGGCAGCAGUAGGGAAUCUUCGGCAAUGGACGAAAGGCUGACCGAGCAACGCCGCGGGAGGGAAGAAGGUUUUCGGAUCGUAAAGCUCGGUUGUAAGAGAAGAACGGGUGUGAGAGUGGAAAGUGCACACUGUGACGGUAUCUGACCAGAAAGGGACGGCUAACUACGUG